rnacentral:rRNA from 1 species
UGAGAAUAAUACCCCAUAGCUCACCAUGCCUGGAACGGUUGGUGGAUGAAAGCUCUGGCGGAACAGGAUGGGUCUGCGGCGUAUCAGGUAGUAGGGGGUGUAAUGGACCUCCUAGCCCUCGACGCGUACGGGUUGUGGGAGCAAUCGCCCGGAGAUGGAUUCUGAGACACGAAUCCAGACCCUACGGGGUGCAGCAGGCGCGAAAACUUGACAAUGCGAGAAAUCGUGAUCAGGGAACUCCAAUUGUCCCCGUUUUUACGGGGUUCUGAAUUGACUCUAAACAGGUCGAGUAAUAGGGGCGGGAAAUAUCGGUGCCAGCCGCCGCGGUAAUACCGAAGCCCCAAGUGGUCGUCGUUCUUAUUGGGCCUAAAACGUCCGUAGCCGGUUUGGUACAUUCGUGGGUAAAUCAGACAGCUUAACUGUCUGAAUUCUGCGAGCACGGCCAAACUUGAGACCGGGAGAGGUGUAGGGUACCUGCGGGGUAGGGGUAAAAUCCUGUCAUCCCGUAGGGACCACCAGUUGCGAAGGCUCUACACUAGAACGGAUCUGACGGUCAGGGACGAAGCCUAGGGGCACGAACCGGAUUAGAUACCCGGGUAGUCCUAGGUGUAAACGCUGUGGA